GUGUGUUGUAUUUAUGAUGUGUGUGUGUGUGUGUAUCUUUUUGUUAUUUGUGGCAAUUUCUUGUAGGAACAAAUAUCCGAUAAGAUGCUUCCAGCAAUGACACAGAUGUGGUUGAUGGAAAAUGUUUUUGACUUAUUGGGGCGCUACUUCUUCAGUUAGCUCCCCAGGCUCAUUGUUCUUAUCUGUUGUCAUCGUGCAUGAUGUUCUCUGGUAUGGCCGAAAGCAAAA